ACGGGAGGCAGCAGUGGGGAAUAUUGGACAGUGGGGGAAACCCUGAUCCAGCGACGCCGCGUGAGUGAAGAAGUAUUUCGGUAUGUAAAGCUCUAUCAGCAGGGAAGAUAAUGACGGUACCUGACUAAGAAGCCCCGGCUAACUACGUGCCAGCAGCCGCGGUAAUACGUAGGGGGCAAGCGUUAUCCGGAUUUACUGGGUGUAAAGGGAGCGUAGACGGAAGGCCAAGUCUGAUGUGAAAACCCGGGGCUCAACCCCGGGACUGCAUUGGAAACUGGUCAUCUAGAGUGCAGGAGAGGUAAGUGGAAUUCCUAGUGUAGCGGUGAAAUGCGUAGAUAUUAGGAGGAACACCAGUGGCGAAGGCGGAUUGCUGGACGACAACUGACGGCGAGGCGCGAAAGCGUGGGGAGCAAACAGGAUUAGAUACCCUGGUA
rnacentral:rRNA from 1 species